rnacentral:tRNA from 1 species
UGGGGAUUAGCUCAGUUGGUAGAGCGUUUGUCUGUUAAACAAAAUGUCAUUGGUUCAAACCCAAUAUCCCCAGCCA